rnacentral:rRNA from 3 species
UGGGGAAUAUUGCGCAAUGGGGGAAACCCUGACGCAGCAACGCCGCGUGAAGGAAGAAGGUCUUCGGAUUGUAAACUUCUUUGACGAGGGACGAAUUUAUGACGGUACCUCGAAAACAAGCCACGGCUAACUACGUGCCAGCAGCCGCGGUAAUACGUAGGUGGCGAGCGUUGUCCGGAAUUACUGGGUGUAAAGGGCGAGUAGGCGGGAUUGCAAGUCAGUAGUGAAAUACCACGGCUUAACUGUGGGGGGUCUAUUGAAACUGCGGUUCUUGAGUGAUGGAGAGGCAGGCGGAAUUCCCGGUGUAGCGGUGAAAUGCGUAGAGAUCGGGAGGAACACCAGUGGCGAAGGCGGCCUGCUGGACAUUAACUGACGCUGAGGCGCGAAAGCGUGGGGAGCAAACAGG